UAUCGGUCUGUGAACGGGCGGAGACGGACGUUGCCAGAAUAUCUCCCUGUUAAGUCCGUGUUUCUUUUUUUUCUCUUUUUUUCUGUGUUUGCGUGUGUGUGUGCCCACGUCAAUGAACUGACCAUUAGGAUAACCACAAAGCAUAGUUCCCCCGGUGCUAUGAAGGCGAGGACUCCCAUUUGAAUCGUGAAAAGUGAAAAAUAACGUGGCCUUUGACUCGCGACUGGAAGAGUGACUGUUGCUGUGCCCCGUGGACCUGCUGCUGCUGCUGCUGCUGUGGCAGUGUGCGGUGCCUGUGGAGUGUGGUGCUUGGUGGAGGCGCAGAGCGAGGGAGGGGCGCGGCGCUGCUCUCCCGGGUAGAAAGCUGCUGAAGGAGAUGCCAUGCGCAGCCAGCCACCCCACCUCUCUCUCUCUCUCUCUCUCUCUCUCUCUCUCUCUCUCUCUCUCUCUCUCUCUCUCUCUCUCUCUCUCUCUCUCUCUCUCUCUCUCUCUCCUAUACGCAUAUUCCUCUCCCAGACCUUCAUCUCCUCCCCCUCCUCCCCUCCUCCAUUGCUCCAUCCACACUCCCUCCACGAGCCUCCACCGACCACCAGGAGGGAACAUGAGUCGUCCAGGUCGUCUUAACAAGAGCGGCAGUGGAUCUCUACAUGGGUGAGGUGGCGAGGGGCGUGGCCAGGGGGCGGGUAGCAGCGUGUGCCACCAGGGAAAUGUGUAUGAACAUAAAAAAAGGCGCCCGUCAAGAAAGGCACAGAUGCAGGGUGGUGAGGCAGUGUUCAUCCCAGGGGCACACCACACAGGGUCAGCAACACAGAUGGUGGUGGAGAGGCACCUGUGGGACGCCCAGGGGAACACCAAACACGACCUUGACAGACAGAAGUUUAUUGAUGAAGUGUGGAAGAAGAGGAGGAAGGAACAAUGAUAUUCGACCAGCUGCGGCAUCUGGGGGCUUCACUUGACUGGGACAGCUGGGACAUG